rnacentral:rRNA from 1 species
UACGUAGGAUGCAAGCGUUGUCCGGCUUUAUUGGGUUUAAAGGGUGCGUAGGCGGCUUAUUAAGUUAGUGGUGAAAACGUUCGGCUUAACAGGAUACCCGCCAUUGAUACUGAUAGACUUGAGUGCGACAGAGGGUGUUGGAAUGUGUGGUGUAGCGGUGAAAUGCUUAGAUAUCACGCAGAACACCAAUUGCGAAGGCAGAUGCCUAUGUCGUAACUGACGCUGAGGCACGAAAGCGUGGGGAGCAAACAGG